UGGGGAAUUUUGGACAAUGGGCGAAAGCCUGAUCCAGCAAUGCCGCGUGUGUGAAGAAGGCCUUCGGGUUGUAAAGCACUUUUGUCCGGAAAGAAAUCCUUGGCUCUAAUACAGUCGGGGGAUGACGGUACCGGAAGAAUAAGCACCGGCUAACUACGUGCCAGCAGCCGCGGUAAUACGUAGGGUGCAAGCGUUAAUCGGAAUUACUGGGCGUAAAGCGUGCGCAGGCGGUUUGCUAAGACCGAUGUGAAAUCCCCGGGCUCGACCCGGGAACUGCAUUGGUGACUGGCAGGCUAGAGUAUGGCAGAGGGGGGUAGAAUUCCACGUGUAGCAGUGAAAUGCGUAGAGAUGUGGAGGAAUACCGAUGGCGAAGGCAGCCCCCUGGGCCAAUACUGACGCUCAUGCACGAAAGCGUGGGGAGCAAACAGGAUUAGAUACCCUGGUAGUCCACGCCCUAAAACGAUGUCAACUAGUUGUUGGGGAUUCAUUUCCUUAGUAACGUAGCUAACGCGUGAAGUUGACCGCCUGGGGAGUACGGUCGCAAGAUUAAAAACUCAAAGGAAUUGACGGGGUCAUAGCUA
rnacentral:rRNA from 1 species